AAACCGCCAUAGGUGAGAGGAUCUGGAAUGACCUCUCGCCGAAAGAUGCACACGGGGACGCCUGUGUGCAUGCCUCAGGAUGGGGCUGCGGCCCAUCAGGUAGUUGGUGGGGUAACGGCCCACCAAGCCUAUAACGGGUACGGGCCCUGAGAGGGGGAGCCCGGAGAUGGACUCUGAGACAAGAGUCCAGGCCCUACGGGGCGCAGCAGGCGCGAAACCUCCGCAAUGCGCUCACGCGUGACGGGGUCACCCCGAGUGCCACCCUCGUGGUGGCUUUUGCGCAGUGUAAACAGCUGCGCGAAUAAGCGGGGGGCAAGACGGGUGUCAGCCGCCGCGGUAAUACCCGCUCCGCGAGUGGUGAGGACUAUUACUGGGCUUAAAGCGUCCGUAGCCGGCUCGGCGUGCUCCGCGUUAAAUCCAGCAGCCUAACUGCUGGGCCGCGCGGAAGACUGCCGGGCUUGGGGGUGGGAGAGGGCAGCGGUAUUCCCGGGGUAGGGGUAAAAUCCACUGAUCCCGGGAGGACCACCAGUGGCGAAGGCGGCUGCCCAGAACACGCCCGACGGUGAGGGACGAAAGCUGGGGGAGCGAUCGGGAUUAGAUACCCCGGUAGUCCCAGCCGUAAACGAUGCGGGCUUGGCGUCGGAGCGGCUACGAGCCGUUCCGGUGCAGAAGGGAAACCAUUAAGCCCGCCGCCUGGGGAGUACGGCCGCAAGGCUGAAACUUAAAGGAAUGGAGGGUGAUCUGGGUAGGGGGCGCAUGCGUAGACAUAUGAUGAUGUUUGUUAUGCUAUCGGUGCUCUCCGCGAUGGAAGCAUAGAGAUACGCUUAGGCAAGAACUAUGAAAUAAGAUAUAAUCAACGUUAUCUAUCAUUUGACCAAGUAAAUUAU
rnacentral:rRNA from 1 species